AUGCGGCUACUCAGCAUCUGGAUGGCAUGGGGAACAAUUAUGGCAGACCUGAGUCAUGGAGAUUCAGUCACCCAAUUAUUCUCCUCAGAUGUCCAGAGGGAAGGAGAGGCGGUGAUUCUAAACUGUACCUAUGAUACCACAUCGAGCUACUACACAUUAUACUGGUACCGACAGUACCUAGACACUCAGCCGGAGUACAUAGUGUCAAAAUAUAUUACUGGCAGUGAGGAUAAAGCAGAUUUUGCGAAAAGUCGUUUCUUUGCAGAACUUCAGACCUCGAACAAAUUCAUCAAUUUGACAAUCACUGAGCUAGAACUGACUGACGCUGCAAUAUAUUAUUGUGCUCUCCGGAACCACACAGUGACGAUAAACAGUUUUGCCCCGUACAAAAACUACCUUUGGACCAUAGGUUGA